CUGUGAUGCCCUUAGAUGUUCUGGGCCGCACACACGCUACACUGAUGUAUUCAACGAGUAUAUAGCCUUGGCCGACAUGCCCGGGUAAUCUUGGGAAAUUUCAUCAUGAUGGGGAUAGACCAUUGCAAUUGUUGGUCUUCAACGAGGAAUGCCUAGUAAGUGUGAGUCAUCAGCCCGCAUUGACUACGUCCCUGCCCUUU
rnacentral:rRNA from 1 species